AGAUGAGGGGGUAAUCUGGCUACAACAUCUGUCACCCCAUUGCUAGCCAGGGUUGAAACAGCUGAUCUGGCUGGUCAGGCAAGUGAUCCCUUCCUCCCUCACUGCUCCAUGUGCAUCCCUCCUGAUGAUAAGUGUUUGGUCUAAGACAGGGACUGGACCUCCUAGUAUAUUGCAGUGGGUGGGACCACCUAAUCAGCAUG
rnacentral:snRNA from 1 species